CCCUUCUAAACUUCCACCUCGAGGAGGUCCCCAAAACCAACCCAAUGACCAGACAACAACGAGCACAAGGGGGCCACGGCCCAAUGAAUGACUAAGGGUGGGGGGUCGUACGUGGGGGAACGGGCUCCUGCCUCGGGUUCCCUCUACUCGUGGCGCGCUCCUCUUCCUUCCUGGAGGCAGAAUAAAAACACAAUGAGUGCUGGUUCCAACUAGGACACGAGGACACAGUGAGUCGACUUCACGACGUUCGC